CCAUCAUCACCAGCCGGCGCAUGGCAAACAAAGUCAUUAGCUGCACUUCAUCCGGAGCCGGAGCACACGAAAAUAGCAGCGCACAUGCGUUCUGCACACGUGCCAGGACCUACACGGACCGCAAUUAAAAUAAUGCAAAAUCAACAAGACAAGGACCUCCAGAGAGACAGCUUAAUAAAUACCACCUUGAUCAAAAAGUUCCCGGAAUCACCACCGUGUGGCGCUUUCAGUCACCCGAUUUUAGUUCUCUUUUUUUUUUUAGGUUGGCACAACCCUCAUUGACAUUCUAUAAAAUUUUCAGCUUGAUAGUGUGACAUUUGUAAAAGUGACGCCGUAUUGAGUACAUCUACGAUUGUGCGUGUUCUCGAUUUUGUACUAUUUUGAAUCUUUUUUUUGAUCUUGCACCACGAUAACGCACCGUCGCACAAUGCCAUCAUUAUCCGUGAACAUUUGGCUAAAAACGGAACGAAUACCAUUCAACAACCACCGAAUUCUCCUGACUUGGCUCCCUGCGACUUUUUCCUAUUCGGUCGACUCAAGAAACCGCUCCGUGGAACACGUUUCAGCACCCGGGAUGAAAUCAUGGAAAAAUCGAAGAUGGCUUUGAUGGCCAUACCGCAAAUUGAAUAUGAAAAAUGUUUCAAGGAUUGGAUCAAGCGCUGGCAUAAGUGCGUUGCAGUCGAUGGGGAGUACUUUGAAGGGGACAAUAUCGAUUUUGAUGUAUAAUCUUGUAUUUUUAAUUUUCUGAAUAAAUUCCGGGAACUUUUUGAUCAA